ensembl:lncRNA DARS1-AS1 DARS1 antisense RNA 1
GUUCUGGGCUUCUGGCUGCAUUCUAGGAAGAUCAUUCCUUAAAAGAAAUAGCCAUAUGGCUUAUAAGACAUGGAAUAAACUUGACAAGUGCUAAAGAUGCUCUUUGAUUUUUGUGUGGCAUGAGACCUCAGGCUGAAACUUCUCAUCUGAGCCAUUGAAGGGAGCCUCUCAUCUCUCCACCGAGAGGGGAGACCAGAAUGGCUCCUUCAGGCACAUUCUGUUGGGCUUCCCUCUACCUCCCCACUCUGCUGCUUCCCCGCUCUUUUUGAAUUUCUCCCUGUUGAGGAGAGGGAAGACCAGCUAGGAGCUCUGUUUCUGGCAGGAAUCUGACACCACUUACUCCUUGGGUAGAAACUCCCCCAAGUCUGAACUAUGUGAUUGCCUGAGCCCUGCUUCUUGUUCAUUAAGACUGCUCCUCUGAAACGGAAUUGAUGAAUUUUUAGUGGCUAUUAGAAGCAUUUGGGAUCCAUAGGCAUCAGGGUUUGAUGCAUGGCCCUCAUCUCUGUGGGCUCC